rnacentral:rRNA from 1 species
UACAGAGGGUGCGAGCGUUGUUCGGAAUUAUUGGGCGUAAAGGGCGCGUAGGCGGCGCCACAAGUCACUUGUGAAAACUCUGGGCUCAACUCAGAGCCUGCAAGCGAAACUGUGGUGCUGGAGUAUGGGAGAGGUGCGUGGAAUUCCCGGUGUAGCGGUGAAAUGCGUAGAUAUCAGUAGGAACACCGAUGGCGAAGGCAGCUGGCUGGACCGGUAUUGACGCUGAGGCGCGAAAGCGUGGGGAUCAAACAGG